AAUCAACGCUGGCGGCGUGCCUAACACAUGCAAGUCGAACGAGAAAGUGGAGCAAUCCAUGAGUAAAGUGGCGCACGGGUGAGUAACACGUGACUAACCUACCUUUUAGUGGGGGAUAACCUAGGGAAACCUGGGCUAAUACCGCAUAAUACCUACGGGUCAAAGCAGCAAUGCGCUGAAAGAGGGGGUCGCGGCCGAUUAGCUAGUUGGCGGGGUAAUGGCCCACCAAGGCGAUGAUCGGUAUCCGGCCUGAGAGGGCGCACGGACACACUGGAACUGAAACACGGUCCAGACUCCUACGGGAGGCAGCAGUGGGGAAUUUUGCGCAAUGGGGGAAACCCUGACGCAGCAACGCCGCGUGGAGGAUGAAGUCCCUUGGGACGUAAACUCCUUUCGAUCGGGAGAGAUAGAUGACGGUACCGG
rnacentral:rRNA from 1 species